AGUGUUUGUGGUCGUUAUUUCUCGACGCUCCCAAAAUCUUGGAUUACCUUGUUUUGACAUCCUUUGAAGAGCACAAAGAAACGACCUGACUGAGCAUGACUGCAAGAUGACAGGUCCAGCGAACUUGGGAUUUUUUGAGUCUUCUAUAGACGGGCACCUCGUGACCAGACGUGCAGAAAACGUUUGGGUUCUGGUCGUCCACUACGACUACAAAGGCAAAGAUGUUGUUCGCAAAGGCGAUGAUGUUGACGUGAAAAACCUGAGGUCGACCUUUGAGGAGCAGAGAAACUGCAACUUCCGCGAUCUUUUGUCAGUUGAUAAAGAAAAUUUGCUGCUGCUUCUCUCUGACAACAACAAGCUUUUUACAUUGUUCAACU